GCGACACUAGCUCAGUUGGUAGAGCGCAACCUUGCCAAGGGUGAGGUCACGAGUUCGACCCUCGUGUGUCGCUCCA
rnacentral:tRNA from 1 species